rnacentral:lncRNA from 1 species
AUAUUAUUUUUUGUUAAGUGGCUGACCUACGGGAUAUAUACGGCUGGACGGCAGCAAAGUUUGAGAGGGGAGACGCACGAAUAGAGUCAAACAACAUCAGACGCACAAGGUUUUGCAUCGGACGAAAAGACAAAGAAAAAAAAGGCGAUCAAGAGAGAAGAAGGUGAUUGGUUCGAGGGUUCAAGCCGCGAUCAAGAUUCACGUCCGAUAUCUUGCUCGUAUGGAGACAAACUAUGGAAAAGUAUCAUCUACAGGCUCUGCUUCAUUUUAGCGAACCAAGAAAUAGAUUGAAGAGUUACAAAGAAAGCGUAACCCUGCAUAUGGUUACUGUUUCGGUGGCCAACUUUGUGUGAGUGUUCUGUAGGCUACAACAACAGAUGUUGGGAUCGAAUGUGAGCCCUGUGAUGGAGGAGGACUGUUGCUUUGUGAUUUCUGUAAAGCUCAAAAGACAAAUGUAAAAUCUGAAACAAAUCGCUUCUAUUGUAGAUGCCCAUCUUGCAAAGCGGUUGGGUAUGUGUUGUAUCCUAAGUGCAAGGUGUUCAAAUGUGUUACUUUUCCUGACCAAAGUGAUGUUGAAAGCUCAAGAUGAUUAAAAAGGACUUCGACAUUAGCUUGUGUGUGCCAUCUUCGAGGUCUUGUAUGUUCUCAACACACUCAUGCAGACAUUUCAAAAUAAAGUGCUUGCUCAUGCUGUCACAAGUUAGAUAAAAUGGUUUAACGACGUAUUACGGACCUAUCGUAACAUUUAUAUUUUCAUGGUCAUAUCAAUGGUCAAGAUCCAACUCUUGUUUCUCUUGUUAAGUUGACAAGCCUUUUGAUUAUUUAUGAUUUUACUGCCUUGUAGUUUACAUUUGUUUCAUGUAUUAAUCAAUUUGGCACUUUGUUUCAUGUAUUAAUCAAUGGUGACGUAUGUGACAUUAUGUAUGAUUUUACUGCCUUUUAGU